rnacentral:lncRNA from 1 species
UUCGAUUUUAUAUGAGCAUUUCUAUUUAUACCCAGGGACCACUGCAGCCCUGAGCUGAGCACGAGGCUGUGCAGGAGGCGGGCAUCCCCCUCCCCCGGCCCCCAUUGCCCACCUGUGGGCACCCCCAGGGGGUGAGCACAGGGCGGGGGGGUCUCGCUAUUUAUUUCCUGCGUGUGCAAGGCACCCCCCUGCCCUCCAUGGCAUGGAGCUGCAGGGCUCGGGCUGGGUGGUCUGCGUGUGCGUCCUGCCCUCUGUCCCGCCCCCCCCAAAACACAAACACCAGAAGCCCCCUCCCCACGUUUGUGGCAUUUCCCCACCUCUCCUCUCCCUGUAGGUGACCCCAUUUUAACGCCGUUCAUUCCAUGGAUCUAAAGUAUGUUGUACAUACUGCUCAGAGUUGUCUUGCAAGUUAAGGCUUCCCUUUACUAUAAGACUUAUAAAUAAUAAAAAGGAAAAAAACCCAAAACUUAUUUUUUAUCCUUCCCCAUGGUAACUGUGUUUUCUUGGGUUCGGGGAGGGGGCAGCAGGGCUGGGAACCUUCCCGUGCUCCUUACUCACCCUGAGGGCAGGUGGCAGCUCUGCUUUAUGGCCCCCCGGCUCCUUUUUGGUAUGGCUAGCACCCUGAGGGCCUCACUCUGCCCGGAUGGGGGUGGAGCUCAGACCCCUACCCUGCAGCCUCCAGGCUGGGCACAGGCUGCUGCAAGAAGUGCAUCACCGCCUUCACCACUUUUUCCGGCACAAUGUUGUAGACUGGAUGCGUGGGCCGCAGGCGGUUUUCGGGGAUGCCCAGGACCAACUCGUGGUGCAGAUCUCCACUGCCAAAGUGCUGGGCAAUGGCCAACCCGCUCAGGCAGUAGCAGGUGUGGUAGAAGUCCCGUGACUUUCCUGGCUUGUCCAGCAGCCCCCCAGCUGGGCACUGGCAGCACAGCAGGAUGUACUCCUGCAGAGCCGACUGGUCGAACAUCCAGUGUGACAUGCUGAGUGCCGUGUCACCCUGCGCGUGAAGGGCACGGUGCAGCAGGGGCAGCAGCCCCGCCUGCCAGAAGGAGUAGCAGCCAUCCACCAGCUUGUUGCAGCGGCCCUGGAAACCGCCCUCGAAGUGCAUCUGCCGCCCGGUCACCCAGUGCAGCAAGCUGCGCAGGUUCAGCAGAUGCUCCUUCUUCAGGAUGACCAGAGCUGCCAGCCCGCAGAACGUGUACCCACCGUGAGCCUCCAUGCCCGGCACCCCGCCGAUACCACCCUCCCAGUUCUGGCACCUGGCAAUCCACUCGGCCGUCCCGGUGAA